rnacentral:sRNA from 1 species
UGUAUCUGAAGCCUGACGAGGAUGAGAACCUCCGGGGGCAAGAGGUUCGACUCGAGCGCAGCGAGAGAACGUUGCGUCAGCAACGGCCCG